GGGAUAACCUGGGGAAACCCAGGCUAAUACCGCAUACGUCCUACGGGAGAAAGGGGGCUCCGGCUCCCGCUAUCGGAUGAGCCUAUGCCGGAUUAGCUGGUUGGUGAGGUAAUGGCUCACCAAGGCGACGAUCCGUAGCUGGUCUGAGAGGAUGAUCAGCCACAUCGGGACUGAGACACGGCCCGAACUCCUACGGGAGGCAGCAGUGGGGAAUAUUGGACAAUGGGGGCAACCCUGAUCCAGCCAUGCCGCGUGUGUGAAGAAGGCCCUCGGGUUGUAAAGCACUUUCAGUGAGGAAGAACGCCUGGCGGUUAAUACCCGCCAGGAAAGACAUCACUCACAGAAGAAGCACCGGCUAACUCCGUGCCAGCAGCCGCGGUAAUACGGAGGGUGCAAGCGUUAAUCGGAAUUACUGGGCGUAAAGCGCGCGUAGGUGGCUUGAUAAGCCGGUUGUGAAAGCCCCGGGCUCAACCUGGGAACGGCAUCCGGAACUGUCAAGCUAGAGUGCAGGAGAGGAAGGUAGAAUUCCCGGUGUAGCGGUGAAAUGCGUAGAGAUCGGGAGGAAUACCAGUGGCGAAGGCGGCCUUCUGGACUGACACUGACACUGAGGUGCGAAAGCGUGGGUAGCAAACAGGAUUAGAUACCCUGGUAGUCCACGCCGUAAACGAUGUCGACCAGCCGUUGGGUGCCUAGCGCACUUUGUGGCGAAGUUAACGCGAUAAGUCGACCGCCUGGGGAGUCGGCCGCAAGGUUAAAAC
rnacentral:rRNA from 1 species